rnacentral:rRNA from 1 species
AGCAGCCGCGGUAAUUCCAGCUCCAAUAGCGUAUAUUAAAGUUGUUGCAGUUAAAAAGCUCGUAGUUGAAUUUCGGGGUCAGUAGGUUGGUCAUGCCACUGGUAUGUACUGGUCUCACUGAUUCCUCCUUCCUGAUGAACUGUAAUGCCAUUAAUUUGGUGUUGCAGGGAAUCUGGACUGUUACUUUGAAAAAAUUAGAGUGUUUAAAGCAGGCUAACGCCUGAAUACAUUAGCAUGGAAUAAUGAAAUAGGACGUUCGAUUCUAUUUUGUUGGUUUCUAGGAUUGACGUAAUGAUUAAUAGGGAUAGUUGGGGGCGAUUAGUAUUCAAUUGUCAGAGGUGAAAUUCUUGGAUUUAUUGAAGACUAACUACUGCGAAAGCAUUUGCCAAGGAUGCUUUCAUUAAUCAAGAACGAAAGUUAGGGGAUCGAAGACGAUCAGAUACCGUCGUAGUCUUAACCAUAAACUAUGCCGACUAGGGAUCGGAUGAUGUUAAUUUUUUAAUUAGACU